AUUUGAUAUAUUCAUUUUGGGUGUAAGCGAAGAUUUAUAAAAAACAUUUUUACUGCCUGUAUUUUAUUAUAGAACAGUAACAAAAUGAAUCGAUCAACAGGUAUGAAAGUAGGAUUCGCGAUGGCCGGCUUGAGGAUUUUUGUGGGUAUGUCAACACCAGUUGCUUUGGCUUCAGUUGUUGUAGGUGGAAUAAUUAUAAUAACAAUUGUAUACAUUAUAUCCAAAAAAAGAAUAAGAAUUGAAAAUACAUGUGUACAAUCUUCUGAUACUAUGUAUCGUAUCAUCAAAUACAGCUUAAAUUAAUUCCCAACAAAACAUCAAA